AAAUUGAAGAGUUUGAUCAUGGCUCAGAUUGAACGCUGGCGGCAGGCCUAACACAUGCAAGUCGAACGGUAACAGGAAGAAGCUUGCUUCUUUGCUGACGAGUGGCGGACGGGUGAGUAAUGUCUGGGAAACUGCCUGAUGGAGGGGGAUAACUACUGGAAACGGUAGCUAAUACCGCAUAACGUCGCAAGACCAAAGAGGGGGACCUUCGGGCCUCUUGCCAUCGGAUGUGCCCAGAUGGGAUUA
rnacentral:rRNA from 1 species